GGCGGAUGCCUUGGCUCUCGGAGGCGAUGAAGGACGUGAUAAGCUGCGAUAAGCUUCGGGUAGGUGCAAAUAACCUUUGAUCCGGAGAUUUCCGAAUGGGACAACCUAGCCGUCUGAAGGACGGUUACUAGCACUUAUGUGUUAGAGCUAACGCAGGGAACUGAAACAUCUUAGUACCUGUAGGAAGAGAAAAUAAAUGAAUGAUUCCCCCAGUAGUGGCGAGCGAACGGGGAACAGCCCAAACCAGUGGCGUCGCAAGGCGUGGCUGGGGUUGUAGGACCGCGACAUUGUAUGCAAAUCGUGAACAGAACACUUUGGAAAAUGUGACCAUAGACGGUGAUAGUCCAGUAUGUGAAGCGAAAUGCAGCAUAGCGGUAUCCUGAGUAACGCGGGACACGAGGAAUCCUGCGCGAAUCUGCCGGGACCAUCCGGUAAGGCUAAAUACUCCCGUGAGACCGAUAGCGAACGAGUACUGUGAAGGAAAGGUGAAAAGAACCCCGAGCAGGGGAGUGAAAUAGUUCCUGAAACCAUGCGCCUACAAGCGGUCGGAGCACAGCAAUGUGUGACGGCGUGCCUUUUGCAUAAUGAUCCUACGAGUUACCGUCACUGGCGAGGUUGAGUACCAUGAGGUACGUAGCCGCAGUGAAAGCGAGCCUGAACAGGGCGCACAGUCAGUGGGGGUAGACGCGAAACCAAGUGAUCUACACUUGGCCAGGAUGAAGUCCCGGUAACACGGGAUGGAGGUCCGCACCAAUAAGCGUUGAAAAGCUUCUGGAUGAGGUGAGUGUAGGAGUGAAAGGCCAAUCAAACUCGGAGAUAGCUCGUACUCCCCGAAAGGCAUUUAGGUGCCGCCUGUGGCGUUCCCGACGUGAGGUAGAGCGACUGAUAGGAUGCGAGGGCUUCACCGCCUAUCAAGUCCUGACAAACUCCGAAUGCACGUCGGCCAAGCCAUGGAGUAAGGGCAUGGGUGCUAAGGUCCGUGCCCGAGAGGAGAAGAAUCCAGACCACCGGCUAAGGUCCCGAAAUACUGGUUAAGUUAGACUAACGCAGUCCGGCCCCCAAGACAGCUAGGAUGUUGGCUUGGAAGCAGCCAUUCAUUCAAAGAGUGCGUAACAGCUCACUAGUCGAGGGUCCGGGCAUGGAUAAUAAUCGGGUAUAAGGCAGACACCGAAGGCGCGGGAUAGCAAUUAUAAAAGUAUCGGUAGGGGAGCAUACUCACAGCGUUGAAUGGUGUACGUAAGUUAUCCUGGAGCGGUGAGUAAAGCAAAUGUAGGAAUAAGUAACGAUAAGGAGGGUUAGAUUCCCUCCCGCUGUAAGACCAAGGUUUCCCGGGCAAUGCCAAUCAGCCCGGGGUCAGUCGGGUCCUAAGUCUAAGCCGAACGGCGAUGGCGAUGGCAGAGACGGUUAAUAUUCCGUCACUGCCGCAUGGGGCGACGUGGAGACGGAGCAGUGAAACCACCGCGGGGCGACGGAAGUCCCCGUUGAAGGGUGUAGGUGUUGAGGAUGGCAGGCAAAUCCACCAUCCGAGCUGAACUUGACAGUAUGGAGUCUUCUCCGGAAGAAUCCAAUAGUGUGGGUAAUCAUACUCCCGAGAAAAUCCGCUAAGCUUAACCCAUGCGGCACCCGUACCGCAAACGGACACACGUGGUCGGGUAGAACAUACUAAGGCGUUGAGAGAUUCAUGGUUAAGGAACUAGGCAAAUUGACCCUGUAACUUCGGGAUAAAGGGUCCUCGUGAUGAGCGAGGCGCAGAGAAUAGGUCCAGGCAACUGUUUAACAAAAACACAGGGCUGUGCAAAAUUUGAAGAUGAAGUAUACAGCCUGACACCUGCCCGGUGCCGGAAGGUUAAGAGGAGAGCUAAUCGCAAGAGAAGGCUUGAAUUGAAGCCCCGGUAAACGGCGGCCGUAACUAUAACGGUCCUAAGGUAGCGAAAUUCCUUGUCGGGUAAGUUCCGACCUGCACGAAUGGUGUAAUGAUCCGGACGCUGUCUCAACCAUGAGCUCAGUGAAAUUGAUCUAUUAAUACUUCUCCUGCCAACUAUAGAUAAAAGAUUUAGCAGACUAGACAAUCUGUGAAAACCAGGGUAGAAAGGUGAAAGGAAAGUGAAAGCCUACCCUUCACCCGCUAAUGCCGAUGAAUAGGGCAUUGUGAAAGGUGAAGGGUAUUUUCUUGAAUUUCCAUAAGAUCCCGCAACGAUUCAAAACGGAACUUUCCGGGAACUAUCGUUUCAAAUAAGUCUUCUAAAACGAAUGUACUCUUCCUUCAACAAUGGCAAAUCUAUACAGAGAGAAAUUAUCAAUCAGCCAUUAUCUUCACAUCAGGCGACGGAACACGGAACCAAUACUCCACCCAUCGUUUUUCUUUAUCGGGCAUUGAGAACGAUAACUUAAUCAGAUUGUCGUGGAGACGUUCAACACUAAUUUCAUUCUCUGUUCCCGGAACGAAAACAGGAUCGGACGAUUUUCCCAAUAUCUCGACAUACACGCUGUCUGAAGGCAAACGAUACUCUCCCUGGGAAAAUAUAAUGGCAUUCGAUUUCGCAUCCCUGCCACGUGUCAUGAUGUUUAUAAAUGUUUUAUCGGCAGAAAUUACUUUUAAGACCGGUAAUAAUGCAAUCCGAAAAUCAUGUGCACCGGGCUGCACAAGACAGCUUUGCCAUACUCCCUCCAGACUCUUAUUAGUGACUUCCUGACCGCUAGGGACAGUAAGUUCAGGAAUAUUCAUAUUCGGAGUAUUGCCAUUUUGCUUUUUCGACAGGCUGAACAUU
rnacentral:rRNA from 1 species